rnacentral:rRNA from 1 species
CAAGGCCGAUGCCGACGUGCUAUACAUGCAGUCGAACGAACUGCUGGUAUUGGAUUGGUGCUUGCAUCAUGAUUUACAUUGUGAGGUGAGUGGCGAACUGGUGAGUAACACGUGGGAAACCUGCCCAGAAGCGGGGGAUAACACCUGGAAACAGAUGCUAAUACCGCAUAACAACUUGGACCGCAUGGUCCGAGUUUGAAAGAUGGCUUCGGCUAUCACUUUUGGAUGGUCCCGCGGCGUAUUAGCUAGAUGGUGGGGUAACGGCUCACCAUGGCAAUGAUACGUAGCCGACCUGAGAGGGUAAUCGGCCACAUUGGGACUGAGACACGGCCCAAACUCCUACGGGAGGCAGCAGUAGGGAAUCUUCCACAAUGGACGAAAGUCUGAUGGAGCAACGCCGCGUGAGUGAAGAAGGGUUUCGGCUCGUAAAACUCUGUUGUUAAAGAAGAACAUAUCUGAGAGUAACUGUUCAGGUAUUGACGGUAUUUAACCAGAAAGCCACGGCUAACUACGUGCCAGCAGCCGCGGUAAUACGUAGGUGGCAAGCGUUGUCCGGAUUUAUUGGGCGUAAAGCGAGCGCAGGCGGUUUUUUAAGUCUGAUGUGAAAGCCUUCGGCUCAACCGAAGAAGUGCAUCGGAAACUGGGAAACUUGAGUGCAGAAGAGGACAGUGGAACUCCAUGUGUAGCGGUGAAAUGCGUAGAUAUAUGGAAGAACACCAGUGGCGAAGGCGGCUGUCUGGUCUGUAACUGACGCUGAGGCUCGAAAGUAUGGGUAGCAAACAGGAUUAGAUACCCUGGUAGUCCAUACCGUAAACGAUGAAUGCUAAGUGUUGGAGGGUUUCCGCCCUUCAGUGCUGCAGCUAACGCAUUAAGCAUUCCGCCUGGGGAGUACGGCCGCAAGGCUGAAACUCAAAGGAAUUGACGGGGGCCCGCACAAGCGGUGGAGCAUGUGGUUUAAUUCGAAGCUACGCGAGACCUUACCAGGUCUUGACAUACUAUGCAAAUCUAAGAGAUUAGACGUUCCCUUCGGGGACAUGGAUACAGGUGGUGCAUGGUUGUCGUCG